rnacentral:rRNA from 1 species
GGAAUCUUGCACAAUGGAGGAAACUCUGAUGCAGCGAUGCCGCGUGAGUGAAGAAGGCCUUUGGGUUGUAAAGCUCUUUUGUAGGGGAAGAUAAUGACUGUACCCUAAGAAUAAGGUCCGGCUAACUUCGUGCCAGCAGCCGCGGUAAUACGAAGGGACCUAGCGUAGUUCGGAAUUACUGGGCGUAAAGCGCGCGUAGGCCGUUGAGUUAGUUAAUUGUGAAAUCCCAAAGCUUAACCUUGGAACUGCAAUUAAAACUGCUCGACUAGAGUUUGAUAGAGGAAAGCGGAAUACAUAGUGUAGAGGUGGAAUUCGUAGAUAUUAUGUAGAACACCAGUUGCGAAGGCGGCUUUCUGGAUCAACACUGACGCUGAGGCGCGAAAGUAUGGGUAGCAAAGAGGAUUAGAUACCCUCGUAGUCCAUACCAUAAACGAUGAUUGCUAGAUGUUGGAAAUUUAUUUUCAGUAUCGCAGCUAACGCAUUAAGCAAUCCGCCUGGGGAGUACGACCGCAAGGUUAAAACUCAAAUGAAUUGACGG